UGGUUUAUAUCACACAUCGAGGUACUUCAUAGAAGUACACAGCCACACUUCGAGGUACCAAAAAAUAGCGAGGUACUUUUCCCUAGACCUCGGUACGUGUACCUCGCCAACCGCUUGUAAAAACCAUUGUACACAAUUUCCGCUCGUUUCUACGGGUACCUCGGUAUAACGUUGUAGUACUGGUUUGUGUGUCAGAGUGUGACCCCACACACUUGACAUCCAUCUCAGAAGCUUUUUUGGUUCCCGUUUCGAAAACGAGCGCGCGCAGAUAAAUCUGGAAACCAGUUACUGACCUAUUUACCGAGUAGAUUGGUUACCUCCCCUUAUCUAUCGUUACUCCCUAUAUAGAGAGGACCUCGGUGAAUCGGUCAGCAACUGGUUUAGGUGAGUUACGAGCACACAGUUAUUUUCAACAGUAUUUUUUCUUAACAUAAAAGAAAUAAAUAAUGACAUCGUGUUUUUAUAUAAUAAUAAAUAACAGUUAAUUACUCGUCAUUUAGUAGAUUUUCUCCUUACUUUAAUCGAUCAUUAUUUACUGCAAUUCUUACAAGAAAUAAACAGGACAGUCGUUUCGCGCUAGUUUUUAUACGUUCAGUUGUUUACAUUUUUUCUUACAAAAAAGAAUGUUUCUUUCAGUGUUUCUAGUGUGUUAAAUUUAAUAAUACUCUAACACUUUGUUCUACAGUGAUGUAUGUUCCAGCUGGUAACAGUGAAUUUAUGAAGAAAACUUUGGUCGCCCAGGAAGAAAGUGGUUUUAAAGAUGUUGACGGGCAUUAUUCUAGAAAAGAGCCAUCAUUCCAGUAUGCUGAAAACAUCCCCUCAAGCUCUCCUGGUCCUAAAAAUGAGCACCAAAGGCCAAAGUGUCAGAGAUAAUGAUUGAACUGAUUCUAAAAAUGAGCCAUCCAGUAUUGGUGAAAUCGUCUCCUUCAAGCAUUCCUGGUUUCAAAAUCAGCAUCAAGGCCAAAGAGUCAGAGAUAAUGAUGAUGAUGAUGAUGACGAAGAAGCUGGCUUUGAACCAUCGAGUUCUGACGGUGCGGAAAUGGACUUGGCUACAGGCAC